rnacentral:rRNA from 1 species
CACUGACGGUGUUGCUUCACAGCACACACACACCCGCGCUCCUUGGGGCUUCUUCCCAGGGGAGAAGAGCCUCCGCCCCCGCCGGGGGCGAGGCCGCCGCUCGGGAGAUGAGCGCCCGAUGCGGUCCCGUUCGGAUAAGCGCGCGGGAGGAUCCGUCCUCCUGUGCGCGCCGAAGGAUAGUGGCUUUUUGAAAUCGAAUUCGUGAACCGUCUUGUCGAAGGGAAAAAUGCGAUGGAUAUCAUCCGUCGACACCGCACACGACUCCGGGCGGUGGAUCACUCGGCUCGCAGAUCGAGGAAGGACGGAGCCAACUCCGUGAAACACGGCGAAUUGCAGGGCGCCAAGAAACCGCCACAGUUUGAACGCAUAUUGCGGCCUUGGCAGCGAUGUCGAGGCCACGCCUGUUCGAGGGUCUGAUCACAUCUUUCCCGUCUCGGAUGGUUUCAUUUCCGUCCGGGCAUCGGACUUCGCGUCGCACGUCGUCGUCGUUCCUCCCUCGGAGGCACGCACGCACGCACGAAGGGCGCGUGGUCCCGAGAUCGGAACGAAGCCGAGGGGAGACGGACAGUCGCACGCCGACGCCCGGUGAGCGAGCAGCAGCAGCUGCCGCGCUCCCGGCCGCCGUGGGCCGUGACGCCGAGAUUCCCUCCCGGCCGGCGGAAUAUCUCUUUCGCGCUGGGAAGCGGAGCGACUCGGCGGGUGGGUCCCGCGACGGUAGUCGGGUUCUCGUGAGACGUUCGUUCUCGACCUCUCGCGUCUUUCGAUAUUUUCUUUCUGUCGGACCUCGGAUCAGGCGGGAUUACCCGCUAAAUUUAA